rnacentral:rRNA from 1 species
CACGUAGGGGGCGAGCGUUGUCCGGAUUUAUUGGGCGUAAAGAGCUCGUAGGCGGCUCAGUAAGUCGGGUGUGAAACCUCCAGGCUCAACCUGGAGACGCCACCUGAUACUGCUGCGGCUGGAGUCCGGUAGGGGAGCGUGGAAUUCCUGGUGUAGCGGUGAAAUGCGCAGAUAUCAGGAGGAACACCAGCGGCGAAGGCGGCGCUCUGGGCCGGUACUGACGCUGAGGAGCGAAAGCGUGGGUAGCAAACAGG